UACGUAGGGUGCUAGCGUUGUCCGGAUUUAUUGGGCGUAAAGAGCUUGUAGGCGGUUUGUCGCGUCUGCCGUGAAAAUUCGAGGCUCAACCUCGAACUUGCGGUGGGUACGGGCAGACUAGAGUGUGGUAGGGGAGACUGGAAUUCCUGGUGUAGCGGUGAAAUGCGCAGAUAUCAGGAGGAACACCGAUGGCGAAGGCAGGUCUCUGGGCCACUACUGACGCUGAGAAGCGAAAGCAUGGGGAGCGAACAGG
rnacentral:rRNA from 1 species